UCGAUUUGGAGUUUGUUGCCUAGAGUGAUGGGCUCCGAAGCUAACGCGAUAAAUCGACCGCCUGGGGAGUACGGCCGCAAGGUUAAAACUCAAAUGAAUUGACGGGGGCCCGCACAAGCGGUGGAGCAUGUGGUUUAAUUCGAUGCAACGCGAAGAACCUUACCUGGUCUUGACAUCCACAGAAUCUUGCAGAGAUGCGAGAGUGCCUUCGGGAACUGUGAGACAGGUGCUGCAUGGCUGUCGUCAGCUCGUGUUGUGAAAUGUUGGGUUAAGUCCCGCAACGAGCGCAACCCUUAUCCUUUGUUGCCAUCGGUUCGGCCGGGAACUCAAAGGAGACUGCCGUUGAUAAAGCGGAGGAAGGUGG
rnacentral:rRNA from 1 species